AUGGCCUCACCCCCUUCCCCGCCCCCGCCCUCGCCGCCGCCGCGGGCCGACGAGCCACGCAGCGGCGGGGGCAGGGCGCCGAUCCCGCCCUACGUCAAGGCGGCGGCGGGGUCGCUCGGCGGCGUGAUGGAGGCGUGCUGCCUGCAGCCCAUCGACGUGGUCAAGACGAGGCUGCAGCUGGACCGCGCGGGGGCCUACCGCGGCAUCGCGCACUGCGGCACCACCGUCGCGCGCGCCGAGGGCGUGCCGGCGCUCUGGAAGGGCCUCACGCCCUUCGCCACCCACCUCACGCUCAAGUACGCGCUCCGCCUCGGCUCCAAUGCCAUGCUGCAGUCCGCCUUCAAGGACCCCGUCACCGGCAAGGUCUCCGCGCAGGGCCGCCUCGCCUCCGGCUUCGGUGCCGGCGUCCUCGAGGCCCUCGUCAUCGUUACCCCAUUCGAGGUGGUAAAGAUUAGAUUGCAGCAACAAAAAGGACUAAGCACGGACCUGCUGAAAUAUAAAGGGCCCAUACACUGUGCAAAGACAAUUGUUCGUGAGGAAGGCAUUUUUGGUCUGUGGUCUGGAGCAUCACCAACUGUCAUGCGCAACGGCACAAACCAAGCUGCGAUGUUCACAGCCAAGAACACGAUAGACAUCCUUCUCUGGAAGAAGCAUGAAGGGGACGGGAAGGUUCUCCAGCCAUGGCAGUCCAUGGUCUCCGGGUUCCUUGCAGGAACCGCAGGGCCGAUCUGCACCGGGCCUUUCGACGUGGUGAAGACCAGGCUGAUGGCCCAAGGGAGGACCGGCGACAUCAAGUACAAGGGCAUGUUCCACGCGAUACGGACGAUACACGCGGAAGAGGGCCUCCGGGCCCUGUGGAAGGGCCUGCUUCCCAGGCUGAUGAGGAUUCCACCUGGCCAGGCCAUAAUGUGGACAGUGGCUGAUCAGGUGAUGGGCCUCUAUGAGCGAACAUAUCUGCAGUCGUCUCAGGUGUAA
rnacentral:rRNA from 1 species